rnacentral:rRNA from 1 species
CACGUAGGGCGCAAGCGUUGUCCGGAAUUAUUGGGCGUAAAGAGCUCGUAGGCGGACUGUCACGUCUGCUGUGAAAAGCUGGGGCUUAACCCUGCCUUGCAGUGGAUACGGGCAGACUAGAGGUAGGUAGGGGAGAAUGGAAUUCCCGGUGUAGCGGUGAAAUGCGCAGAUAUCGGGAGGAACACCGGUGGCGAAGGCGGUUCUCUGGGCCUUACCUGACGCUGAGAGCGAAAGCGUGGGGAGCAAACAGG